rnacentral:rRNA from 1 species
ACCGGGGAACUGCGUCCGAUACUGGAUGGCUCGAGUUUGGGAGAGGGAUGCGGAAUUCCCGGUGUAGCGGUGGAAUGCGUAGAGAUCGGGAGGAACACCAGCGGCGAAAGCGGCUCUCUGGCUCAUAUCUGACGCUGAGUGCACGACAGCGUGGGGAGCAAACGGGAUUAGAUACCCCGGUAGUCCACGCUAUAAACGAUGAGGGCUGGGUGUUGGUUCCAUUUGGAAUCAGUGCCGAAGCAAACGCGUUAAGCCCUCCGCCUGGGGACUACGAUCGCAAGAUUAAAACUCAAAGGAAUAGACGGGGGCCCGCACAAGCAGCGGAGCGUGUGGUUCAAUUCGAUGCAACACGAAGAACCUUACCAGGGCUUGACAUGUAGGUGGUAGGGAAGGGAAACCGGACCGACCC